AAGGGCGAUGAGUAGUGCGGAUUAGACCCGAAACCGGGUGAUCUAUCCAUGAGCAGGUUGAAGCAAGGGUAAAACCUUGUGGAGGACCGAACCAAUACCGGCUGAAAACGGUUUGGAUGACUUGUGGAUAGGGGUGAAAGGCCAAUCAAACCCGGUGAUAGCUGGUUCUCCCCGAAAUAUAUUGAGGUAUAGCCUCAUGGAUUGUCUACCGGAGGUAAAGCACUGACAGGGCUAGGGGUCCUACCAGAUUACCAAACCCUAUCAAACUCAGAAUGCCGGUCAGAUGUACCAUGGGAGUCAGACGGCGGGUGCUAAGGUCCGUCGUCGAGAGGGUAAGAGCCCAGAUCAACAGCUAAGGUCUCCAAAUCUAUGCUCAGUGGUUAAGGUGGUGACGUUGUAGAGACACCCAGGACGUUGGCUUAGAAGCAGCCAUCGUUUAAAGAAAGCGUAAUAGCUCACUGGUCUAAUGACGUUGCGCCGAAAAUGUAACGGGGCUAAGCAUAGUACCGAAGCUUUGAAUUCCGCAUAUGCGGUCUGGUAGGGGAGCGUUCUUCACGGGCUGAAGGUGUGUCGUAAGGCAUGCUGGACUGUGGAGAAGUGAUUAUGCUGACAUGAGUAACGAUAAAACGGGUGAAAAACCCGUUCGCCGUAAACCCAAGGUUUUCCGGGUAAAGGUAAUCUUCCCGGAGUUAGUCGGCCCCUAAGGCGAGGCUGAAAGGCGUAGCUGAUGGGAAACGUGUUAAUAUUCACGUACUUGUGUGUUCGCGCGAUGAAGGGACGCAGGAAGAUAGGCAAGCCGGGCGCUGGUUGUCCCGGUGCAAGCGUGUAGGGAUGAGAA
rnacentral:rRNA from 1 species